GGAGGAUCCAAUUGUUUUCCUAAGAGUUAUAGUGGAUCUAAGAGGGGUGGAAGAUGUAAAAUAGUUUAUGAACUCUUCUCCUCCCAUAUGGCUUAUUGGAUAGACUUGAAACUUUGUACAAUGCUUAAUUGUCAUUUGUAGAUGUGCAUAUUGUCGGAAUGGGAGGAUCCAAAGUUUUUCCUAAAAGAUAUAGUGGAUCUAAAAGGGGUGGAGGAUGUUAAAAUACCUUGUGAACACUUCUCCUAUAUGGCUUAUCUGAUAGACUUGAGAAUUUGUACAAUGCUUCAAUGCCAUUUGUAGAUGUGCAAGUUGUAGGGACAGGAGGAUCCAAUUGCUAUCCUUAAAGUUAAAGUGGAUCUGAGGGGUGUAGGGUAUAAAAUAGUUUGUGAACGCUUCUCCUCCUAUAUGGUUUAUCAGAGUUCAUGUCUAUCUUCCUGCCCAUGCUUUCUCCUCCAUACUAUUCAAUACAUUAAGGGGGAUGUUUCCUAUAUUUUACGAAUUAAUUGGUUGAUUGACAACAAACUUGGUACACUUUUACAGCAUAUAUAAGGAGUAGAUGACCCCUAUUGAUUCUUAGGUCACAUGGUCAGUCCACUCUUGACAUAGGAAGGUAUUGUCUGCUCAAUAUUUUGAAUUGGUGUAACUACUAUCAAUUAAAUGAGGCACGGGUAUAACCCUUUCAAUUUUGCAACUUGGGGGGCAUAUGUGUUUUAGAAACAUCUCUUGUGUUGUAUUAUAUGAAUUACAGUUUUUAGUGUGCUCAGUUUAGAGAAUAGCAUAAAAGUAUUUGAUAAUUAAAUAUCUUACAGAUUGGCAGUUUACUCCAUGCACCGAAAGGAAUGAUAAACUGUGAUAUUCGUAAAUGGAACUGGAACACGUUCUAAAUAUACUCAGGGACAGAAUGAUGUGCAGCAAGGCUCGUCAUGGAUUUUACCAAAUACAGAACACUGCAAGGCUUGCAAAAUGAAGACCUCAGUAAAAAAAAUUCUAAAUUAUCCACUAAUGGCAGCUCACUACCCGCCCCUUGUGAUGUUAAAAGAGGCCGUUGUUUUCAUUUGUUCCAAAACAGGAAUGGCAUAUGAGGAGGCCAACAGAAGAUGCACCUCCACUGACCUCCACUGAGUGUGCACUCACAAAACGAAUAAAUUAUUAUUAUUUCUUUUGUUUGUAAUUGUAUAUUGUCAACAAGGUCAAAGGCACUUGAUCCGAUGCCAAACUUUUGCAUUUCUUUUGCUUUGUGGUAAAUUUUCUUCAGCAACAUUAACAUUGUUUAAAUUGUUUUCUUUGGAGAGUUUACAUGUACACAUGGAUCAUUUGUAUAUUAGAAUUAUAGCAUUGUUUAAUUCAACUCAUUCUUAUCAUAGAGAGGUUAUUAUAUACUGCAGGCAACGACUUGUAAAGGGUAUACUGUUUUAACUCACAUGCAAGGCAGUAUUAUGAAACUCUGUAGUUGAUAAGGACAUAUAUCACAUAUCGAUAUGCAUAUUUACAGGAAACUCUGAUGUAUUUUAAAUCUGAACGUUAAUUUAAAAGUGGGGAGAAAUAGCAUUGGAUGAAAAAAGACACAUAUGAAGAAAAUUAUUCCAUACGUAAAUACUUUUUAGCUCACCUGAGCUGAAAGCUCAAGUGAGCUUUUCUGAUCGCCUGUUGUUCAUUGUCUGUCCGUGCAUGAUUAAACAUUUUAUAUUUUCUCCAGAAGCACUGGGCCAAUAAUAACCAAACUUAACCAAAAGUAUCCUUGGGUAAAGGGCUUUCGAGUUUGUUCAAAUGAAGGGCCAUGCCCUCUUCAAAGGGGAGAUGACCACAAAAAUAGGGUGGGUCAUUUAAUUUUUUUUAUCAAGAACCAUUGGGCCAGAAGAGCUGAAAUGUACAUGAAAGCUUCCUGACAUAGUACAGAUUCAAGUUUAUUGAAAUCAUGGCCUCCUGGGGUUGUAUGGGGCCACAAUAGAGAAUCAAAGUUUUACAUACAAUUAUUCAGGAAAACUCUUUCAAUAUGAGCCAAGGUGGCUCAGGUGAGCGAUGUGGCCCAUGGGCCUCUUGUUCAACAUAUAGAAUAAAUAGUUAUGUUGUAUUUCCCAUGGAACAUUGAAACGUUUAAUGUGUUUACCAAUUAAUCACUGAAAGAAAGAUAAAAUUGUUGUUUCAUAUGUUUUAUGAAAACUUAAAGAUGUUUCAUUUCUUUUCAUGAAAGACCCCUUAAUUACCCAGUAAUAUAUAAUCAAUUCUUAACAGAUUAUGUAAAUUUGAUUUAUAUUAAGGAUGUUUGAUCUGAUUACCCAUCAUUAUCAAUCUGUCUAAUAUGGCCAUCAUGUGUUACUAUUGCUACGCAAUCUUGGAGCAUGAGGUAGAAUGCGAGCCAGCUCUUUCAUAAGUACAUGUAUCUGGAAAAUAUUUCAAUGUCAAAGGUUACAACAAUGUGAUAAUUUAAUCAUUGUAUGUCUAAGGUGUUGAUAAUAAAACUGUUAUCUGUUCAA